rnacentral:ncRNA from 20 species
GGGAAUCCGGUGCGAAUCCGGAACUGACGCGCAACGGUGAGAGGCUGCCGCCUCGAGUCCGAUCACC